GGAGCUCGGCGAACCCUUACUGCUCUUCUCGAGAUGAAGGAGGAGUGUGUGUGCGUGUGAUGAUGAUGAAGAGGUGUCUCUGUUAAUGAUGGAUGACGGGAACAGACGUGAGCGGAUCAGACCUGCACACACACACCUGGAUGAAGGUGUGUAUGAAUCACACGAUUCACAGUCACUGACGACUCACGGGACACAGUGUGUGAAAUACAUGCAGAGACGAACCAAUAAGACAUUAAAGAUUUGACAUUGAUGUCACACAUUGUAAAUAAUUAGAUAUAGGUCAUAUUGUGCUUAUUAAUAAAAGGAUUGUCG